rnacentral:rRNA from 1 species
GACAGAGGUUGCAAACGUUGUUCGGAAUUACUGGGCAUAAAGCGCACGUAGGUGGUCCGCUAAGUCGGAUGUGAAAUUCCCCGGCUCAACCGGGGAACGGCAAUCGAUACUGGCGGGCUUGAGGUCCGGAGGGGUGAGUGGAACUCCUGGUGGAGCGGUGAAAUGCGUAGAUAUCAGGAGGAACACCGGUGGCGAAAGCGGCUCACUGGCCGGAAUCUGACACUGAGGUGCGAAAGCUAGGGUAGCAAACGGG